AAGAUGCUGGCGCCACGGCACACGGAGCUUCUAUCGUUCAUCAUUAAUGUGGAUGCUCACGUCUUUAUCGUAAUAAUCAUCGCUCGUGUUUACAUUAGUAGGAGAGAAACAACAAUUCUAACAGCCUUAAAGCUUAAUUAGGUUUAGAUUAACAGAAGGAGCAGAUCUCUAAUGCGUUGCUGUCACUGCGUAACGUAGCGUGUUCAGUUGAUAGCUUCCGCCCCCGCCUUUUUUUAAAAAAGCAUUCUGCCUCCUAACUAUCGCGCUAAUCUACAAGUCUACACGCACUGCAACGACUGAAGGAGGACGUUUACGGCACAUUAUUUAUUUAUUUAUUUAUUUAUUUCUUUAUUUCUUUAUUUGAUUUUAUUUGAUUUUAAUUUUUUCCAAUAAAGUCGUUGAUUGUGGACGCACUGCAUUACCAUACUAAUGGCAAGGGUACCGCAUUGGCCUAAAUAUUGGCGUAAAAAUCUUUACAGGACUUAAAGGAUCUGCUGCUAACAUCCUCGUGCCAGAUAUCACAGCACACCUUCAGGGAUCUAGUGGAGUCCAGACCUCGACAGGUCAGGGCUGUUUUGGCAGAAAAUGGAGGACCAACACAAUAUUAGGCUUACCGGCUGAAAUGAUGUGACUUGAUCUCACCACACGGCAACAGGUUUCACUACAUAUACCUUACCGUAGCCUCCUGGUCCAGCGGCAGGAUCCCGCGCUCUCACUGCCGCGGCCUGGGUUUCAUUCCCGGGCAGGAAGCUGACCCAGCCACUGAAGAGUUAACUCUCAAUUAUUCUAAUAAUAACACGUUAUUAUUAUUAUUAUUAUCAUCACAGACAUAUACCUUACCGUAGCCUCCUGGUCCAGCGGCAGGAUCCCGCGCUCUCACUGCCGCGGCCUGGGUUUCAUUCCCGGGCAGGAAGCUGAC